CACCGCUGCUGGAUCCAAGUCGCUCGACAAAAUGUUGGUGUGUGACACUUCCUCGGAUUGUUUUAUUUGGUUCUUCAUGAGCCCAUUAAUAAAUCUCAUGUAUAGCACCCCCUGACAGCUAUGUUUCCAUGAAAUGCAAACUGCGGCGGAUGACCACACUCCAUAGAGACAAGGUAUAUUCUAAAAUAUGUGUAUGGAUCUUGGGUGGUGAUUACUCAAGAAGGAUAACUCAUUUUUUUGUUGUCUAAACAAUUUGACAGCGAACACGCUAGGACCGAAUUUGCAUACACUGCACGCAAAGAUUUAUUUGGAAACGGUCAACAUGGCCAAUCAGAAGGAAGGAUACAUCAGUCUGCGAAAUCAUUUUGCAAUAUAUCUAUGUCCCAUGUGUAGUAGCCAUCACCAAUUCUAU
rnacentral:lncRNA from 1 species